CUCCAGAGCGGACACGGCCUUUCUGUCAACAGCCGCCCAGUGCUCGGCUCAGCUGCCAGGUGGUGGACUGGACACAGCGCCAAAUGCUCCAGGAGCUGCUGUGUGUUUAUGGGAUUUCCUCCGUUAACGCUGGCCACUGUCACCUUUCUGUGAAGUCCAUGUUAUAUGGCAUACACAGCGGUAAUUGUUUUACGAUGGCGAUCCCUGAAAUUCAGAAUAAAGUUGGAGGGCCAGUAAGGAUUUGUCAUAUGCUUCUCAGGCCUGCACGUGGGGUGUGGCCUACGAGGUCACCGGCACAUAAGUUCAGGAAUCUCUCAAAUACCUGAACCUCAGGGAGGUGGUGCUGGGCGGCUACGUCACCAAGAUGGUGGAGUUCCAACCGCAGGAGGAGGGCGAAGCUCCUCUGCUGGCCUCUGUCAGCCAUAAGAUCACCCGGAGGGUCUGAAAUGGUUUAGUCGGAUGAUAAACUCACUAUGGCAUAGGGAAGGAGAAGCCAGCUGCUAGGCUUACUCAGUUAACAGUCCUACACUAACAGUACCAGAGGUAGCCAGCUAUAGGCUAAGUAAGUUAACCAACACAUUUGCAUGUCUGAUUGAGUGUAGUGGAGUCUUAAAGUGGCUAGACAGGGCUGGACAAUUUGGCUAAAAACACUGAUCUCGAUACAGCAAGGAGAAAUGGUGAUAUACGAUAAAAUAUGAUCCAAGCACAAGCGGAGACACUUUGCAGGCAAUUACCCUUAAAUACAAUGAUAAAUCUUAUGAAAUAACGUACAUAUUGCAAAGUUCACAAAUUAUACUGUCAAACAUCUUAAUAGUUGCACUCACAGUUACACACGCAAAUCCACGCACAUCACUGCUCUACAAAAUGGGGCACCUUUUGGUGUGCAAA